UGACCUCGUUUAUCUCAUGGAUAUUGGAUGU
rnacentral:piRNA from 1 species